UACAGAGGGUGCGAGCGUUAAUCGGAAUUACUGGGCGUAAAGCGUGCGUAGACGGCUAUCUAAGUCGGGUGUGAAAGCCCCGGGCUCAACCUGGGAAUUGCAUUCGAGACUGAAUAGCUAGGGUACGGUAGAGGGAAGCGGAAUUUCCGGUGUAGCGGUGAAAUGCGUAGAUAUCGAGAGGAACACCUGCGGCGAAGGCGGGUUGCUGGGCUGACACUGACGCUGAGGCGCGAAAGCCAGGGGAGCGAACGGG
rnacentral:rRNA from 1 species